rnacentral:rRNA from 1 species
AGGACGAACGCUGGCGGCGUGCCUAACACAUGCAAGUCGAACGGAGUUAUUCCUUCCGGGGGAUAACUUAGUGGCGAACGGGUGAGUAACGCGUGAGGAACCUACCUCUCAGUGGGGGACAACAGUUGGAAACGACUGCUAAUACCGCAUAAUGUAGCGAGACCGCAUGGUCAUGCUACCAAAGCUUUAUGUGCUGAAAGAUGGUCUCGCGUCUGAUUAGCUAGAUGGCGGGGUAACGGCCCACCAUGGCGACGAUCAGUAGCCGGUCUGAGAGGAUGAACGGCCACAUUGGGACUGAGAUACGGCCCAGACUCCUACGGGAGGCAGCAGUGGGGAAUAUUGGGCAAUGGGGGAAACCCUGACCCAGCAACGCCGCGUGAAGGAAGAAGGCCUUCGGGUUGUAAACUUCUUUUAGUAGGGACGAAUACGUGACGGUACCUACAGAAAAAGCAACGGCUAACUACGUG